rnacentral:rRNA from 1 species
GAAGAACACCAGUGGCGAAGGCGCUCUACUGGGCCGUAACUGACGCUGAGGGACGAAAGCUAGGGGAGCGAAAGGGAUUAGAUACCCCUGUAGUCCUAGCUGUAAACGAUGGAUACUAGGUGUUGGACGUAUCGACCCGUUCAGUACCGCAGCCAACGCGAUAAGUAUCCCGCCUGGGGAGUACGCACGCAAGUGUGAAACUCAAAGGAAUUGACGGGGGCCCGCACAAGCGGUGGAGUAUGUGGUUUAAUUCGAUGCAACGCGAAGAACCUUACCAGGGCUUGACAUCCCUCGAAUCCUCUUGAAAGAGAGGAGUGCCUUCGGGAGCGAGGAGACAGGUGGUGCAUGGCUGUCGUCAGCUCGUGUCGUGAGAUGUUGGGUUAAGUCCCGCAACGAGCGCAACCCACGUCCUUAGUUGCCAUCAUUAAGUUGGGCACUCUGGGGAGACUGCCGGGGACAACUCGGAGGAAGGUGUGGAUGACGUCAAGUCAUCAUGCCCCUUACGUUCUGGGCUACACACGUACUACAAUGCUUCGGACAAAGAGCAGCCAACUAGCGAUAGUGAGCUAAUCUCAUAAACCGAGGCACAGUUCAGAUUGCAGGCCGCAACUCGCCUGCAUGAAGGAGGAAUCGCUAGUAAUCGCCGGUCAGCAUACGGCGGUGAAUACGUUCCCGGGCCUUGUACACACCGCCCGUCACACCAUGGGAGUUGGCCACGCC